rnacentral:rRNA from 1 species
AGUGAACGCUGGCGGUAUGCCUAACACAUGCAAGUCGAACGGCAGCACAGUAAUAGCUUGCUCUUACGGGUGGCGAGUGGCGGACGGGUGAGGAAUACAUCGGAAUCUACUUUUUCGUGGGGGAUAACGUAGGGAAACUUACGCUAAUACCGCAUACGACCUACGGGUGAAAGCAGGGGAUCUUCGGACCUUGCGCGAUUGAAUGAGCCGAUGUCGGAUUAGCUAGUUGGCGGGGUAAAGGCCCACCAAGGCGACGAUCCGUAGCUGGUCUGAGAGGAUGAUCAGCCACACUGGAACUGAGCCACGGUCCAGACUCCUACGGGAGGCAGCAGUGGGGAAUAUUGGACACUGGGCGCAAGCCUGCUCCAGCCAUACCGCGUGGGUGCAGAAGGCCUUCGGGUUGUAAAGCCCUUUUGUUGGGAAAGAAAAGCAGCACGUUAAUCCCCCGCUGUUCUGACGGUACCCAAAGAAUAAGCACCGGCUAACUUCGUG